rnacentral:sRNA from 1 species
UUGAGAGCCAGUGGGAGUGAAGUCCUCUUUGUGCACAGAACCGAUAUAUGAGUAGCAGCAGUGCAAGCUUCCCAAUGCUGCUUUGCCAAUGUGCCUAAACCCUGACCUGCAAAGUCAAUCUCUAGCCUCGAGAUGCAUCAAAUUAAUAGCCUGCCUCUUUGUUGAUACU